AAAUGAAGUGCCUGAAUAAAGGGUUAUUUUGAUAGGAUAAAUCAUGUAAAAUUUUACCUUCAUU
rnacentral:tRNA from 1 species